rnacentral:rRNA from 1 species
CUAACUACGUGCCAGCAGCCGCGGUAAUACGUAGGGUGCGAGCGUUAAUCGGAAUUACUGGGCGUAAAGGGUGCGCAGGCGGCCCUGUAAGACCGGUGUGAAAUCCCCGGGCUCAACCUGGGAAUUGCGCUGGUGACUGCAGGGCUAGAGUACGGUAGAGGGGGGUGGAAUUCCUGGUGUAGCAGUGAAAUGCGUAGAGAUCAGGAGGAACACCGAUGGCGAAGGCAGCCCCCUGGGCCUGUACUGACGCUCAUGCACGAAAGCGUGGGGAGCAAACAGGAUUAGAUACCCUGGUAGUCCACGCCCUAAACGAUG